ensembl:snoRNA
AAGCCAGUGUAAUUACAUCUGGAUUACCUGAAUGUGUUUUUCAGAAGUAAAAUGCUGGCAAUAGUACAGCCAUGGUACGAGCCUCAAUGACUAAGGUCCUUGAGGUCCCUGAGAAUGGCUACAUUU